rnacentral:rRNA from 1 species
GCCUCAGUAACGGCGAGUGAAGCGGCAACAGCUCAAAUUUGAAAUCUGGCUCUUUCAGGGUCCGAGUUGUAAUUUGUAGAGGGUGCUUUGGCGUUGGCCGUGGUCUAAGUUCCUUGGAACAGGACGUCACAGAGGGUGAGAAUCCCGUACGUGGCCGCCGGUCUUCGCCGUGUAAAGCCCCUUCGACGAGUCGAGUUGUUUGGGAAUGCAGCUCUAAAUGGGAGAUAAAUUUCUUCUAAAGCUAAAUAUUGGCCAGAGACCGAUAGCGCACAAGUAGAGUGAUCGAAAGAUGAAAAGCACUUUGGAAAGAGAGUCAAAAAGCACGUGAAAUUGUUGAAAGGGAAGCGCUUGCAGCCAGACGUGCCCGCAGUUGCUCACCUGGGCUCUCGCCCGGGGCAUUCUUCUGCGGGCAGGCCAGCAUCAGUUCGGGCGGUUGGAUAAAGGCCUCUAUCACGUACCAUCCUUCGGGAUGUCCUUAUAGGGGAGGCGCAACACGACCAGCCUGAACUGAGGACCGCGCAUUUGCUAGGAUGCUGGCGUAAUGGCUGUAAGCGGCCCGUCUUGAAACACGGACCAAGGAGUCUAACAUCUAUGCGAGUGUUUGGGUGUAAAGCCCGGACGCGCAAUGAAAGUGAACGGAGGUGGGAACCCCUCGGGGUGCACCAUCGACCGAUCCUGAAGUCUUCGGAUGGAUUUGAGUAAGAGCAUAGCUGUUGGGACCCGAAAGAUGGUGAACUAUGCCUGAAUAGGGUGAAGCCAGGGGAAACCCUGGUGGAGGCUCGCAGCGGUUCUGACGUGCAAAUCGAUCGUCAAAUUUGGGCAUAGGGGCGAAAGACU